GGCGGCAGGCUUAACACAUGCAAGUCGAACGCCCCUUCACGGGGGAGUGGCAGACGGGUGAGUAACACGUGGGAACAUACCCUUCGGUUCGGAGCAACGUCUGGAAACGGACGCUAAUACCGGAUACGGCCUUUUGGGCGAAAGAUUGAUCGCCGAAGGAUUGGCCCGCGUUCGAUUAGCUGGAUGGCGGGGUAACGGCCCACCAUGGCGACGAUCGAUAGCUGGUCUGAGAGGAUGGCCAGCCACAUUGGGACUGAGACACGGCCCAAACUCCUACGGGAGGCAGCAGUGGGGAAUAUUGGACAAUGGGCGCAAGCCUGAUCCAGCCAUGCCGCGUGAGUGAUGACGGCCUUAGGGUUGUAAAGCUCUUUCGCACGCGACGAUAAUGACGGUAGCGUGAGAAGAAGCCCCGGCUAACUUCGUGCCAGCAGCCGCGGUAAUACGAAGGGGGCUAACGUUGUUCGGAAUCACUGGGCGUAAAGGGUGCGUAGGCGGGCAUUUAAGUCAGGGGUGAAAUCCCGAGGCUCAACCUCGGAACUGCCCUUGAUACUGGGUGUCUUGAGUCCGGAAGAGGUGAGUGGAACUGCGAGUGUAGAGGUGAAAUUCGUAGAUAUUCGCAAGAACACCGG
rnacentral:rRNA from 1 species